rnacentral:lncRNA from 10 species
UGGCUUCAAACCAUGGAAAUGUAUUGCAUCACAGUUCUGUAAGCCAGAAGGCUGAGAUCCAGAGGGACAGAGCCAGGCACCCUCUGAAGGCACUAGGGCUGGGCACCCUCUGAAGGCACUAGGGAAAGGUCUGCUCCAGGCCUCUCUCCUGCUUCUGGUGAAUACUUGGCAUGUGGCAGCCUCACUCCAUCCUUCACUUGGCAUCUUCCCUGUGUGUGUGUCUGUGUCUAAAUUUUCCCUUUUAAUAAGGAUACCAGUCAUGCGGGUUUGGGGCCCACCUUUCUCCAGUAGGACCUCGUCCUAACAAAUUGCAUCUGCAAUGGGCCUAUUUCCAAAUAAGGUCACAUUCUGAGCUGCAGGGGGUUAGGACUGCAGCAUAUGCAUUUGGUCAGGGGGCUUGACACAAUUCAACCCAUGACGCUGGGGAAUCAGAGAUGCCAUCACUUGUAUUGAAACCUGCCCCACUUUCCUUUGUUCUGCAUCUAUCCUGAGAAAACGUGAAGGGCCUCAGGCAGCGAGGGGCAGGGGGUACCCAGAAAGGAGGUUCAAGUUCCUUCUCCUCCCCCGACUGAAGCUGGGGGGCUCGUCCAGGAAACAUUGCGGAUGAUAGUGGCCUCACCUUUUAAAACCAAGGCAGCUGGGUUUCUAGUUGGAGGUUCAUCUGGGCUUCAAAAGGGGAAGCAGCUUCCUCUUAAAGUGACUGUCCCCAGAAUAGUGUUUUUGUUUUGGUUUCAGGUUGCCAGAUAAAGGUGAAGCAGCUGCCACGGUCAUAUGCUGUCAUAAAACUUAGAAAAAAAGAGAGUGAGGGAAGCGGAAUACAUAACUCCUUGCACAGAGAACAGCUGCAAAUGCAGAGCUUUGCCUCUUUUUUUUCUUCUUCUUUAUUUGCAUCUGUGAUUUCUUAUUUCUGUUUCACUUCUUCCCUGAAUUUCUGAGCUUCCUAUCUGGCUCCAGCACACUUCAUCUGGCAGCACGGAGAGUGCCCCCCAGUUAGGAUCUGCUGUACUGCAGGAGGGAAGGAGGCCGCCACUGCUAGAGAGACAUUUGGCCACUUGCCUGUGACUCAGUGGGCUCUUCCCAGCAUUUCUUCUCCCGCUCACCUUCAGCAAAAUGGUCUGGGUUUGCAGAGGAACCUUGUUAUCUGUCUAGACUCUGUUCUCUAUGUGCUCUCUUCUCCAAAGCUCUCCCCAUGUUUUCUAACUCUUCAGCCUUGAACUUGGCAGAAGUGAUGCAGCAAAGUCUCGGCCCCGUGAGGCUGUGGUUCUCCAGACUGGCAGCCUUCCCAGGAGUGAGGCUGUGGGCACUAAAGCAAGAGGCAGGGUGGGAUGGAGAGGAGUCAGCCUUAGCAGCGGGGCAGAGUCUGUGGUUGUCCUGCUCUGGUGCUUGCAGCUCCGCCCACAGACAGGUCCAGAAGGCUGUAGGUCCCCAGAGUGUCCUUGCUGCUGGAGAUGGCUGGCUCAGUUCACUUGUUCUCUUUGGAACUCUUUAGAACGUGUAGACCUCCUGCUGAUAGUUUUAUAGACAAUCACCCAGAGUGUAGCCGUUGAGAGCAACUCUAUGCAAACCAUUGCUUCUGCAAAGCUACAAAAUAAUGAGCUUUUGAUAAUGACACUGAAUGAGCUGUGGACACAGACUAGACCUUCCUGGGACCACAUACCACCUCCGAUUGACGGAUCCCAUUAACACCAGCAGGCCUCUUGGGGCCUGCCAUCACCAAAGGCAGCUGAGUGAGGAGAGCCUCCCCAGGCUUGAAAACACUUGGGCUUGAUUUUGUUAAAGCUGCACAUCGAGGCACUUCCCCCUGAGACCUGGGUUAUCUCAUAUCCUCUCCAAUUCGGCAAGGGCCCCCGUUAUGCUGGAUUGCUUUGGAUCAUGGAGGAAAAACAAUAAUGAAGCCAUAUUUUGGGCAUCUGGCUGAGCUUUGUUCUUCCUUUGAGAAAGGAAGCCAUACCACAGUUGCCCCAAAGAUGAGGCAGACACCUAAUUUCCUGAACCAGACCCUUGCUGGCUUGGACACUGUGGCCUGUGGCUGAGUAAUGGUUGGGGAGUGAGUGUCUCUCAGUCCAAGACCGCAUAUAUGAUAAAAUUAUGCAGGAAAAUAAUGAGAACCAUUGAAAGAUGUUGCUCACUUUGGGAUUGAAUUACCACCUAAAUGAAACUGACAGUGGGCAGGGGGCUUGUAGAAUGAAAUUAGGGAGGAAGCUGUAUUUCAAUUGGGAAAUGCUGGGUGCUCUCCAGGAGAGCAAGGCUCCUCUAAAUGAAAUACAAUCCUGAGCUCCCGUUUCAUCCUCUGUGAUUUAUUGGAACCAAAGAGGGUUGUUUGAAUGGUUCUGAAUGUUAUUUUCAAAAGCAAAUGAACAUCUCAUUCUGGAAUCAAGACACAGGAAACUGACUUUGGAGGAUCUGGUACUGGGAGAGACAGGAAGCAAUGCUGGGUUCUGUAUGACGUCUUCUGUAUUUAAGCCCCAGUUCAAGGCAGGCUGGAGGGACAUGUGGAGGAGAGAGUCCCUCAGGUCUUGGUGGGGUGGGAGUGAAACCUAGGGCUUUUCCUUUGAGUGUUAAUGGGCAUUGGACUGGUCUCCUGUGGUCAGUGUGUGGUGGAAAGGUGGCCAGAGACUGAGGAGCAAGGGUGAGACACCCAGAGAAAUGUGGGAGACACCAGCCAACUCAACCCCCGGCCUUCCCCAGGUGGGUCCCAGGCUACACUCAAUGUUGGUCACCCCUUCCCCUCCUCUUCCUGCCUGUCCAAUCCCAGGUGGCAGAACCUCCACUGUACAAAUCAGAAUCUUCCACUAGUUCUACUAAAAAGGAGGUAAAAGGUGAUGUUGUUUCACUUUGAUAAGGUUUGGCUCUGGGUCCCCACCCAAAUCUCACCUUGAAUUAUAAUCCCUACAUGUUAUGGGAGGGACCCAGUGGGAGGUAAUUGAAUCAUAGGGGCUGGUUUUGCCCAUGCUGUUCUCAUGAUAGUGAAUAAGUCUCUCAAAAUCUGAUGGUUUUAUAAAGGGAAGUUCAUGGGCACACACUCUCUCUUGCCUGCUGCCAUGUAAGACGUGCCUUUGACCUUCUGCCAUGAUUGUGAGGCCUCCCCAGCCAUGUGGAACUGUGAGUCCAUUAAACCUCUUUUUCCUUAUAAAUUACCCAGUCUCCAGUAUGUCUUCAUUAGUAGUGUGAGACAGACUAAUACACAGUCCUAUCUAUUGCGGCUCUUUCUGAAUGGUAUGGUCAAGUUUCUGACAACAUCUUCAAGGGCAUUGCUCCUGUAGUGACAGCAUCUUCCAGUAGUUCUCUGCAAAAUUUUAUCACCUUUAAGGACUGGGCUGGGAGACAUUCACGCACCAACCAUUGAUCACUCACCUUUCAUAGUCUCUAAGCCCUAAGCCCACCCUGGCAGCUUCCACACAGAACUCUUUGGAGAGGUGGCUGAGAGAUAUUUCCUCCAACCCAAUUCACAAGAUCAUAUUCAGCUUGCCUGGAUAUAAAAACUGAUUAGCGACAUAACUAGGUUGAACUCAAAUGUGAUGAAAACUGGUAGUGCGGCUCCUCUUCUGCAGGAAGGCUUGGAAUAUCUGUGCAUUCCUAGGAUACGUGACACAGGUUUUCUACCCGUGCAGGGCCAUUGGGAGGCGCAGGAGGAAGAUGAGGGCUGAUCUGCUCCAUGGACCACUUGUAUCCGCAACCCGGGGGCUGGUGUGUCACCCCUUUUCCUCACCCUCUUCCCACACACCACCCUUUCUCUACUUUCUCUCUUCUCUUCUCCCUCUCCCCCGCCUACCGAAGGUCACCUUCUCUGGUUUGAAUGGGGCCUGCCUUUUAGAGCUUUAGGAAGAAAGCCUCAACACCCCCUUGAGUGGAAUCUUUCUGCUUCCCUUCUGGGCUUUGCUAAGAAAACAAAAUCUACGCUGUUGGAGUAGCUGCUGGAGGUGAGGAGGGGAAGAGUGAACGCCUUGAAGCCAGAGAUCCUGCAGCUUUGCAGGGAGACAUGAGUUUUCUCCUCCUGCACCAUGGUGGCAUCACAAGAGGGUUCGAGCCCUUCCAGACGGCAGACCUAGCACCAAGCACGCGGCUUGCAUUGCCUCAUUUAUUCCUCAUGACCAUGCUAUGAAGUAGGCAUUAGUGUCAUCCAGCUUUAUGAAUGAAGAAUCUGAGUCAGAGAGAGGUUGAGGAACUUGCUCUUGGUCACACAGCCUGACUUCAGCCAAAAUAGUCCAACCUCAGUGCCCACAUGCUUCCCCUCCCUGCUAAACUACCAGCCAAAGACCACACUAAAUGACAAGAGGCUGAUGGGGGCUGAGUGGCUUCUGGCCUAGUCCCCCAGAAGAGGUGUCUUCUCCCACCAGAAUUCUUUGAGAACUUGCAAGUUCUGGGAAGAAGUAUCAUUGGGAGAGGGAGGGAAACAGAGUCACAUACAUAAACAAUGCAAGACAGCAUGUGAUUUGUGCAUGUACAAGUUACAGAGGACAGGGCCUGGGAGCCCCGAGAGGGGAAGGAGCCUACAGGCCAAGUGACCAGGGGCCCCAUGGGAGGGGAGGAUGCUGCGCCUUCCCUAUUAUAUUUGCCUCCCUAGGACAUGCCAUGCAGGCAUUCUACCGGUGCAGUUGAUGCCUCUCCAGGAAGGUCCUCAGGCACCAGACUUGUCCAUGAAAUCCAUAGAAGAGGAUGGACUCUGGUGGAGAAAUCCUCCUUGAGCUUCAUCACGGCCUCCACGGUGGAGGUCAGGCCCCUGAACAAGCCGCUCACUGGGCUUCUCAAGCCACUAUGUCUCCACCCUGCAUCCAGACAAGGCUUCAUUUGAUGCCCCCACCUCCCAUCUUCCACCCUCCUUGUCGCCUUAGCUGUGCGAGAUGCCCCAAAACCUGUCUGGCUCUUACACACGUGCCUGUCUGCAAGGGCAGGCUGUGAGAUGCAGCUACAGGCUGUGGGCAGACAGUGCAUGGCCCACGCCUGUGGCUCACCCUGCACAUCGUGCCUGGAAGCUCCCUCUGAAAACACAAGGCUCAGCUUCCCCAGAGGUGGCCACACUAUGCCAGGUCAUUUAAACUGAGGGGCAAACUUUGAGAGAAGGAAAGAAAGAAGGAGCUGUGUGGAUAAAUUCCUCUUCUUUCCUCUCCCUAAUGGAUUGCUCCAAAGAGGACAUUGCUAGGUGGUUUCUCUGGAGAAUUCCAGCCUGACCAAGCAAAGGUGAUUGGGAGGCUGUGGCCAGCACAAUAACUCACCACCAACUUGCAUUUGUUUUCCUCCACCCCUUUUCUCUUCCUUUCCUCCAAACGGUCUCACUCCCAGAAUUACACUCCCUGAAUUACACUCCCUGCAAUAAAGCAUUAACACAUAAGUCCUGUAGGGACUCAUAUUCAGACUAGGAUGGGAAGGUAUCCAGGGAAAUCGUAGAUGGUAGCAAUGUUGGGAAACGAAGGAGACCCAUCUGCCACAGAAGCUUGUCCAGGUACAAUUUCCAGCAGGCUGUUGGGAUGGGUCAAGGAAGGCUUUGAUGCUGAGCUCAGACACUUUGACUUCAUUCUGUAGACCAGCGGGGAACACACUGGGUCGCCUGGACAAGAGGCUCACUUUCGGAUUAAAUGGGUCUCAUGUUAGAGGGUGUCCCAGGUGGCUCAGAUGUGCCCGACUUGGGCAGAAUCACAUCUUCAGGAGUAGAGGAGCCCUUUGUGCUUUUGAGCAAAGAAGUGCUGUGAACAGGACCGAAUUUGAAAAAAGAGAUGCAGACAGAGGGUUGAGUGGGAAGCUAAACCAGAGCCAGCAGUCCAGAGAGGAGCCUUGAGAACAGGCAGCCAGACCAACAGGCCACUUGAGGAAGACCCGUGGCCGAGGGGGCGGACCUGCAGGAGGAGCAAAACACAGAGCUGUUUCCACGGCCAACUGGGGUACUCGCCAGGAAGCCAGAUGUCUGUGCUGGAAAAUGUCCACACACAGCUGCUCCGAACCCAAGCCAGGGCCUGGCGGUGAUGUGUAAAAGCAACAAAGACAGUGGGGCUGGACAGGGGCAGAAGGUCUUAUGGUGUGAUCUGGGGAGGAAACAGACACCUGGAUCCUGGCCAGGUCAUGAGAGUUCUAUUACCCCAUACUCUCCUCCAGGGUGGCUCACCUCUUGCCCACCACCCACUGGACUCAAUACAACAGUUGUCUCUGUCUCAAGCCUGCAGGAAGGUAGCCAGAUAGGAAGAAGAUGCAUGUGCUGCUGAGUGAAGAUGGAGGAGCCAGAGCAGAAGGUGGGAGCUCCCCAGUCCCGAAGAAGGCAAGGGGACCACCCAGGCAUGAAGACACCAUCCCUGCGGAGGCCAGCUCCCCACACGCAUCAGUGAUCCCCCAUCAGAAACGGCUCUGAACCCUCCCCUGUCUCCAUCUCUCCCGCAUUGCUAUGGGUUGAAUGCUUUU